GCAGUCGACGAGACCUUCGGGUCUAGUGGCGCACGGGUGCGUAACGCGUGGGAAUCUGCCCUAGGGUACGGAAUAACUCUCCGAAAGGAGUGCUAAUACCGUAUGAUGACGUAAGUCCAAAGAUUUAUCGCCCUGGGAUGAGCCCGCGUAGGAUUAGCUUGUUGGUGAGGUAAAGGCUCACCAAGGCGACGAUCCUUAGCUGGUCUGAGAGGAUGAUCAGCCACACUGGGACUGAGACACGGCCCAGACUCCUACGGGAGGCAGCAGUGGGGAAUAUUGGACAAUGGGCGAAAGCCUGAUCCAGCAAUGCCGCGUGAGUGAUGAAGGCCUUAGGGUUGUAAAGCUCUUUUACCCGGGAAGAUAAUGACUGUACCGGGAGAAUAAGCCCCGGCUAACUCCGUGCCAGCAGCCGCGGUAAUACGGAGGGGGCUAGCGUUGUUCGGAAUUACUGGGCGUAAAGCGCACGUAGGCGGCUUUGUAAGUUAGAGGUGAAAGCCUGGUGCUCAACACCAGAACUGCCUUUAAGACUGCAUCGCUUGAAUCAUGGAGAGGCGGGUGGAAUUCCGAGUGUAGAGGUGAAAUUCGUAGAUAUUCGGAAGAACACCAGUGGCGAAGGCGGCCCGCUGGACAUGUAUUGACGCUGAGGUGCGAAAGCGUGGGGAAGCA
rnacentral:rRNA from 1 species